rnacentral:rRNA from 1 species
UGGGGAAUAUUGCACAAUGGGCGCAAGCCUGAUGCAGCGACGCCGCGUGGGGGAUGAAGGCCUUCGGGUUGUAAACUCCUUUCGCUAGGGACGAAGCGUAAGUGACGGUACCUGGAGAAGAAGCACCGGCUAACUACGUGCCAGCAGCCGCGGUAAUACGUAGGGUGCGAGCGUUGUCCGGAAUUACUGGGCGUAAAGAGCUCGUAGGUGGUUUGUCGCGUCGUUUGUGUAAGUCCACAGCUUAACUGUGGGACUGCAGGCGAUACGGGCAUAACUUGAGUGCUGUAGGGGAGACUGGAAUUCCUGGUGUAGCGGUGGAAUGCGCAGAUAUCAGGAGGAACACCGAUGGCGAAGGCAGGUCUCUGGGCAGUAACUGACGCUGAGGAGCGAAAGCAUGGGGAGCGAACAGG